CUGACUUCACCAACAGUUAGCUUGAUUUUCUGCUCUCUGUUUAAGUAAAUACUGAAGCUUACUACCAAAGAAGUGGCUGUGACAGAGACCUACAUUUUAUAUACACGUUAAAUGUUUGUCCUGUCUGCAUUAUCCUGUCCCUGUGUGAAUGUUAGAGCUGUUAACCACCAAAGUGUCUGUGUGAGCGUGCUCAUCUUUCUUCUGUUAUUAUCAGAAUAAACGGCUGCUGGUGCCAAAAGUGAGUUUUUAUACCUGGUUCAUCACAACACAAUGCUCCAGGAAUUCUUUCACUGAUCCUGAAGAAAAUACAAGAGUUUCUUUUCCAUUCACCGUAUUCUAAGAUAUUUCUCUAAACAUUAACGACACCAUCUGUGCUGUGCUUUGGUCAAAAUAAAACAUGAAUCAAG